UGGAAUGAGUCAGGGUGGAGCAGGUAAUUGGAAUGAGUCAGGAUGGAGCAGGUAAUCGGAAUGAAUCUGGGUGGAGCAGGUAAUCGGAAUGAGUCAGGAUG